ACAUUAUAACCUCACUAUACAGACUAUGAAAACAUUGUCUGAACGACAGCAGGAAACCUGCCUGAACCAAGUGAACUUCUAACAUCUUCACUUGCACUCUUUGCUCAAGCAUAGGGGACAACUGAACCUGGAUCUCCCGUGUCCCAGCUGAGUGUUCUACCAGUGGACUAAAGCGUAUAAGAGAGCUCCCGUUGCCACCCUCACCACCAUAUCCUCCUGCAGACGUUCUGGGAACUAUUUCCUUGGCAGUCUGGAAAAAUGCCUGGAAGUAAGCAUCUAACAAUUUUGCUGCUACAACGCUUAAAACUACUGUAUUCUAUUUCUUUUGGCCAAUCUGAAGAUCAACUUUCUGGUACCACCACAAAAGACACAGCAGGAGGCAGGAAAUCUCCUGAUCAGCUAUUGGCUAUCAAAUACUAUCAGUACAAGCUCAGUUUGAUAGAAGUUGACUCACUUUAGUGUGCCAGCCAGCAGUGGUGUCCUGGAAACACAACAGCGUCUCUUUAAGAAUCCUGGUGACAUCAUUUACCCUCAACUCCCAUGUUGCAAAGCAUGAGUGAAUGGUGAACAGCAACAGCAAAAGGAGCUGGAAGAAAUAUCUGACCUCCAAUGAGAAAAGACCAAGGAAAUAACCUUUGAACCUAGAACAUAGGCUACAGCAAAGCAUCAACUUUAUGGAUAGCAAAGACUGUGUGUGAUGUUCUACCAUGUUUGCAAGCCAGAUCUAGAGACCAAAGACAGUUUUAAUUGUGAUGAAUAUUUGUCUUUUUAUGGAGGAACAAAGUUCAUUGUCACUCUUCCCUAUUUUAUCUUAUGAUCCUUGUCCUCACAUAAAAGCCUUUCUGUGUCUCUCAUCAAUUUGAUCACAUACUGUAACCUGGGAUACCUAUUCCUGCUAUAGUUUUGUUUUCUGAUGGGCUGACUCCAGUUUAGUAUAGUGUUUCAUGUGAGCCAUACCAUCCAUGUAUAAUAUUUUACUAUUUUCCAUCCAUUCUUUCUACAUCCUAACUGGAGCUGUGUGAAUAAUUGACUUGUCAGUUUGCUGGCAAUUUAAAAAAAAAAUCAGUUUAGCCUGAACUGAAAUGGAAAUUGUUUUCAAUUUUCAGCUAAUUGAGAAGGUUGAGGAAACUUGUUUUGUGCCAGAUGGUUCCCCUUGACCCAAAAUGAAACCUUUUGUGUGGGGUAUUUGUAAACUUUUUUUUUAACAAAAUCCAAGGAAAUGAAGGCCUAGAUUCACAGCAAUGACGUGGUCAGGGUUCCCUGUCCCUCCUGCUAGUAGCCCAGUGGGUCAGGGAGCUCCCUAAGGACGCUGGACAUCUAGGUUCAAAUCUUUCUGGAGCAGGGACUUGAAUGUAGGUGUCUCCCCACCCUGGUGAAUGUCCUAACCACUGAGAUAUUGGGUAUUCUGGGUCUCUCUCUCACUCUUCUGUUGAAGCUUCUCUGCUUUGUAUAAAAUAUUUGAAUAGUCACUGUGGGGGGAGAGCAUGACUCUGUAGCCCAGUGGUUAGGGCCUGCACCUGGAACACGUUGGUCCACUGUACUAUUAGGUUUAAGGCAGGUGCCACCUGUUUGGUUUUGUAAAUGGACCCUAAACACUUGUGAAUCUAGCCCCCAUUGAAUUGAAACAUUUCAUUCAACUUUCUGAGUGGUGGUUUUAUUGUUUUUUUUUUUGUUUUGUUUUUCAUUUUGACC